UACGAAGGGGGCUAGCGUUGCUCGGAAUCACUGGGCGUAAAGCGCACGUAGGCGGGUCUUUAAGUCAGGGGUGAAAUCCUGGAGCCCAACUCCAGAACUGCCUUUGAUACUGAGGAUCUCGAGUCCGGGAGAGGUGAGUGGAACUCCGAGUGUAGAGGUGAAAUUCGUAGAUAUUCGGAAGAACACCAGUGGCGAAGGCGGCUCACUGGCCCGGUACUGACGCUGAUGUGCGAAAGCGUGGGGAGCAAACAGG
rnacentral:rRNA from 1 species